UGUGCGUGGGCCUAAGGUUUAGCUCAAUGAACACAUCCAUAUCUCUAUCUUCUCCGCCAGGCGUGACAUGAAGAAUCUCUUCACUGUGUUUCGAUCGUGUCGUUUGAUUUACCUUCUAAUAAUCCGAAUUACUCCCACUACAGAUUCAUCGCCUUAUACCCCUCUUAAAAUCUAUCAACUAAUGAUCAAUCCUUCAACCCUUCAAUACGAGUUGCUUAUCUUCAAUGCUGGUGAAGACGUCUACGACCAGCUUUUGCUCUCUAGGAUCAUCUCUCAAUGAGCUUAUCUUUUCAAACCACCAUUCUCAUAAGUUGGAAUCACCAAAUCCAUUCCAAAAAGUGGUUGACACUACCAGGGAAGAAGAAGAAUCAUCUCUACCAUCUAAAGGAAAAGCCAAGGGUGAGAGACAACUGGAAGAGACUAUAGAGGAAAUAGCAAAAGACAUCAAGGAGAUGAAGAGGCAGAACAAAGUAACCCACAUACUCCUCUCUGCUAUGAUCCUCCAGACGUUGAAUUGGCAGCUCUCUGAGUACUCAAUGAUUUACAUGCUGAAAGAGAGAUUAACCCACCCUAUCAGUUAAGCGCGGUUGGGAACUUAUGGGGUUGAUAUGCUCUUACUGGAUGCAAAGUUGUUUUGAAAAUGACAAAGAAGAAAAGAAGGGAGGGAGCAUAAGGAGAUUAUUAUUAAUGGUAUCAGAGAGACUGUCGAAAAAUAUAUCUCUGUCCAUGUUUCUCCUUUGAAAACAUGAAAAUAUCAAAUUCAAGGAGCUUAGACAACAGUUUAGACACAACCGAAGGUCAAUUUCUUUGUUUUGUUCUGUAAUUAUGAAUAGCUGGGUGUUAUUGAUCAAGACCUUGCUCAGAAAAAUGUGUACCAAAAUCAAGGUGUUUCUUUUCCUGAUUCGUGCUGAACUGAAUCCUGACAAAAUGAGGAUAAGUUGAACAAUCUGGGGAAUUAACAGUCAAAGUGCCAGUGAUUUUCAAAGACCAUACAGUUAUGCACUCAAGAAGGCACGCAAGGCUUAGCUUCUCAAGUUAGGCAAAUUCAUAGACCCUCUUGCUCUCUAUCAAGCUUGGGUUUUUCUCUUCUUUUUUUUCAAAAGCAAGCUUUGGUUCAGUUUUCCAUGUUCACCUUAUUCAAUCAGCCAAAUAAAAUUUUAACUUAUAUCA